CAGUCGCCACGGUAAUACGAAGGGGGCUAGCGUUGCUCGGAAUGACUGGGCGUAAAGGGCGCGUAGGCGGAUUGUUUAGUUAGGCGUGAAAUUCCUGGGCUUAACCUGGGGACUGCGCUUAUUACAGGCAGUCUAGAGUGAGGAAGAGGGUUGUGGAAUUCCCAGUGUAGAGGUGAAAUUCGUAGAUAUUGGGAAGAACACCGGUGGCGAAGGCGGCGACCUGGUCCUUGACUGACGCUGAGGCGCGAAAGCGUGGGGAGCAAACAGGAUUAGAUACCCGCGUAGUCCCUGUCUCUUAUAC
rnacentral:rRNA from 1 species